CCUACGGGAGGCAGCAGUGGGGAAUAUUGCGCAAUGGGCGAAAGCCUGACGCAGCGACGCCGCGUGAGGGAUGAAGGUCUUCGGAUCGUAAACCUCUGUCAGCAGGGAAGAACGGUCACUGUGCUAAUCAGCAGUGAAUUGACGGUACCUGCAAAGGAAGCACCGGCUAACUCCGUGCCAGCAGCCGCGGUAAUACGGAGGGUGCGAGCGUUAAUCGGAAUUACUGGGCGUAAAGCGCUCGUAGGCGGUAUGUCAAGUCAAGGGUGAAAUCCCCGCGCUCAACGUGGGAACUGCCUUUGAAACUGGCAAACUGGAGUCUGUGAGAGGAUAGUGGAAUUCCAGGUGUAGGAGUGAAAGCCGUAGAUAUCUGGAGGAACAUCAGUGGCGAAGGCGACUAUCUGGCACAUAACUGACGCUGAGGAGCGAAAGCGUGGGUAGCAAACAGGAUUAGAUACCCCAGUAGUC
rnacentral:rRNA from 1 species